CCCAUCUAUUUGUUAUGAAUUUCAUCUAUUUUUAUCUUUUAACUAGUUCAAGCUAAUAUCUACUUGUAUCUGAUCUUGAAUAUUUUAUUUUAAUGCAAUCAAAAUUGGAAUUAGUUGUUUGAUUGAUUGAUAUCAAAAUUUUAUUCUCUAUGGAGAAAUUAUCAGAUUCAGUAUUUAACACCGAAUUCUCUAUGUUACAGAAUCUAUACCUCAUUUGGUUUUUGAGGUUUCUGGAGGGACUAUUUGUUUGAUGUAUUUGCGUAGGAAUACAAUCAAGUACGAUGAUUUUCCGGAAGUAGACGUUUCAGAGGAGUAUUUUGGAGUAGGUGGUGCAGGUAAAUCCAUUGUUUACAGUUAAGCUCGAGGUAAGCGUGGUAUUAAGCUCCCUACUUUAAUUGUUUACUGUUACAAAUACUUCUGUUGGUAUGACAUGAGCAGCUUGUUCUAUUUUCACUUGAAGUUGUGGUGUUGGAAUCCAUGGUGUUCUAAUAUCUUUUGUUGCAUGAGUUUUCAAAUAACAGAUUGCAAAAUUUUUGGGGUUUCUGCAAAUUCUAGUUACAGGGAAGGAGAACUACAAAUAGAAUUUUAUCGCACCACAGCAAGCUCAUCUCUUUAGCAGAGCGCUCAAAAUAUGUUCGAUAAAAUGCUCCAAAGAGGAAAAAAAUGGUGUCGUUUUGUGCUCGCAAUGCCAAGGUAGUUUCCUUGAAAAGGCUUAGUGUAAGGUCUGGAACACAUGCAUCGCGCAGUUGAAGUUGUGUCAGAUGCCCAAAGCCAACAGUUGAUGCUAUAGGAGGACUUGCGCUUGGAGGUGGUUUAUAAUUGGAAAUGGUUCUUAUGAAAAGGUAUAUCAUGCAUAUUGGAAUGACUAGAUAACAUUGGUUGGCAGUUGCUUUAUGGCCAUCUUGUUCUCAGUAAAGGACCAUCAUUCAGUUUGGAUGAUGAUCUAGCUAAAGAAGCGAGUAAAGCAGAUCGUAACAAAAGAAAUAUGAGAGAGUUUGGAAUAUAAUACUUUUGAGUUUCCAUUCAGUUCUGAGAAGAUGGUAACUACAUUGCGCGUUGGGGCAGAGUAUGCUGGAGUUUCUGUACAGAACUGAAUGCUUAUUGCUGGAGGCCAAUCUGGUGUAUCUGAAUGUUAAUGCAUAGUCAUGCCACGUAUCGUUCUGCGGAGCAGGUUUCAGAUAACUUCAUAGAAGCUAAUUGCUUAAAUGUGAUAAUGGUCUCGCUGGAAUUGGAGUUGACGCUGAGUACACAAAUCAGAUGCAUGUGUAACUCUCAAUUACACUAGAUAGAUGCAUAUGUAAAUCUCAAUUAC